rnacentral:rRNA from 1 species
AUGACCGGUAGGAGGAGUUUCGGGUGGGCAUAUAACCAGGCAGCAAAGACCAAGGCCGCAGAAGCACUAGAGAUGUCCCGUCGUGAAGCGGUAGCGGCAACAGAGAUGUCCCGGCGCGCCGCGGAGCCCUCGAACGAGCUCUCACGGGCACGCGAGGGCUCUCACAAGAGCACUCUUCGCACUGGCGAUCACGACGAGCUGGCGUUGCUGAAGUCCUUGGCCGGCGACGACGACAUUCUUGCUGGCCUCAUUAAGCAGCAUGAGCUGGUCGACGGCUUGAAGAAGCUGCUCGAGAUCAGCGAUGCCUCGGUUGACAAGGAGACCGGCCUCAUCGAGCAACUCAAGGGUGACAAUGCGAAGCUCCUCAAGGCGCUCACCGAGAAGGAGGAGGAGGCCGUGAUGUCUACUACACAACAUUCUUCUUGUAGACGUUGUUGGGCCUCCAAGUGCAGAGGUUUGUAG